rfam:Triticum aestivum genome assembly, contig: Triticum_aestivum_CS42_TGACv1_scaffold_223695_3B
UCCUUGGAUGUUUUCACAUCCACCAAUGGAUAAAAAAAUUUCCUGU